GAAUUUUGGACAAUGGGCGAAAGCCUGAUCCAGCAAUGCCGCGUGCAGGAUGAAGGCCUUCGGGUUGUAAACUGCUUUUGUACGGAACGAAAAGCUUUGGGUUAAUACCCUGGAGUCAUGACUGUACCGUAAGAAUAAGCAACGGCCAACUCCGUGCCAGCAGCCGCGGUAAUACGUAGGGUGCUAGCGUGGUCGGGGAUUACUGGGCGUAAAGCGUGCGCAGGCGGUUUUGUAAGACAGGGGUGAACUCCCCGGGCUCAACCUGGGAACUGCCUUUGUGACUGCAAGGCUAGAGUACGGCAGAGGGGGGUGGAAUCCCGCGUGUAGCAGUGAAAUGCGUAGAUAUGCGGAGGAACACCGAUGGCGAAGGCAACCCCCUGGGCCUGUACUGACGCUCAUGCACGAAAGCGUGGGGAGCAAAC
rnacentral:rRNA from 1 species